rnacentral:rRNA from 1 species
GAUGAACGCUGGCGGCGUGCCUAACACAUGCAAGUCGAACGGAGUCCAGCCUUAGAGACCUUCGGGUCAAAGAGGGGAAGACUGAGUGGCGGACGGGUGAGUAACACGUGGGCAACCUGGCUCAUAGAGGGGGAUAACAGAGAGAAAUUUCUGCUAAUACCGCAUAAGCACACACUGCCGCAUGGCAGAGUGUGAAAAGAGAAUCGCUAUGAGAUGGACCCGCGUCUGAUUAGCCAGUUGGCAGGGUAAGAGCCUACCAAAGCGACGAUCAGUAGCCGAGUUGUGAGGAUGAGCCGCCACAUUGGGAGUGAGACACGGUCGAGACUCCUACGGGAUGCAGCAGUGGGGGAUAUUGCACAAUGGGGGGAACGCUGAUGCAGCGACGCCGCGUGAGUGAAGAAGUAUUUCGGUAUGUAAAGCUCUAUCAGCAGGGAAGAUAAUGACAGUACCUAAAUAAGAAGCCCCGGCUAACUACGUG